AGCAGUAGCCGCGGUAAUACAGAGGAUGCAAGCGUUAUCCGGAAUGAUUGGGCGUAAAGCGAGCGCAGGCGGUUAGAUAAGUCUGAAGUGAAAGGCAGUGGCUCAACCAUUGUAGGCUUUGGAAACUGUUUAACUUGAGUGCAGAAGGGGAGAGUGGAAUUCCAUGUGUAGCGGUGAAAUGCGUAGAUAUAUGGAGGAACACCGGUGGCGAAAGCGGCUCUCUGGUCUGUAACUGACGCUGAGGCUCGAAAGCGUGGGGAGCGAACAGGAUUAGAUACCCCUGUAGUCCCUGUCUCUUAUACA
rnacentral:rRNA from 1 species